rnacentral:rRNA from 1 species
UACGGAGGGUGCGAGCGUUAAUCGGAAUUACUGGGCGUAAAGCGUGCGUAGGCGGUUAUUUAAGUCAGAUGUGAAAGCCCCGGGCUUAACCUGGGAACUGCAUUUGAUACUGGGUAACUAGAGUUGAGUAGAGGAGAGUGGAAUUUCCGGUGUAGCGGUGAAAUGCGUAGAGAUCGGAAGGAACACCAGUGGCGAAGGCGGCUCUCUGGACUCAAACUGACGCUGAGGUACGAAAGCGUGGGUAG